rnacentral:SRP_RNA from 10 species
GCCGGGCAUGGUGGCACAUGCCUGUAAUCCCAGUUACUCGGGAGGCUGAGGCAGAAGAAUCCCUUGAACCUGGAAGGCGGAGGUUGCAGUGAGCUGAGAUCGUGCCAUUGCACUCCAGCCUGGGCAACAAGAGUGAAACUCUGUCUCAACAAAAAAAAGAAACCUUCCAUUUUGCAGAGAGGUAACUAAGUGAAAUGUGAGUUUGAUCCCUUGGGAGGGAAAAAAAAGUGGAAAUGGAAGAUGGCAACUUUUUUCUUUUUUUUUAAUUUGAGACGGAGUUUUGCUUUUGUUGCCCAGGCUGGAGUGCAGUGGCAUGAUCUCAGUUGACCGCAACC